rnacentral:rRNA from 1 species
GUGCCAGCCGCCGCGGUAAAACGUAGGAGGCAAGCGUUAUCCGGAUUUACUGGGUGUAAAGCGCGUGCAGGCGGUCAUGCAAGUCGCGUGUGAAAGCGCCCGGCUCAACCGGGCGAGGCCGCGCGAAACUGCGUUGACUGGAGGCCGGUAGAGGCGUGUGGAAUUCCGGGUGUAGUGGUGAAAUGCGUAGAGAUCCGGAGGAACACCAGUGGCGAAGGCGACACGCUGGACCGAGCCUGACGCUCAGACGCGACAGCAUGGGGAGCGAACGGGAUUAGAUACCCGGGUAGUCC